rnacentral:lncRNA from 1 species
CGAGGUGGCGAGCACGCCCGUCUCGAUGGCGGUGGAGACUCUGAUCUGGUUCCCCAGCCCGGCGGCGGAGAUGGCGUUGUAGACGUUGCGCAUGGCCGGGAGCACGAACUGCGCGUACUGGGCGGUGUCGCGGAUGGGGCUCACCUCGUUCCCCACGGCGAUGUAGCGGAACCGCACGUUCGGGUAGUUGCGGACGUUGGUUUGGACCCAGGCGUUGGCGUUGGCUUGGGAGGCUGCAAGCCUCUGCAGGUCAGUGUUGGGGACGCCGAGCAUCAGCUCGAUGUUGGAGCCGCGGAGGGCGCCCAGGGCGGCCUGGUUGGGGUCGUACAAUCGCAUUCGCCGGAUGUUGUUCUGGUUGUACAGACCCACCACGUCGCUCGCCGCCGGCAGAUUGUUCCCCAGCAUCCCGUAACACACGCCCGUCU